rnacentral:rRNA from 1 species
UACGUAGGGGGCAAGCGUUGUCCGGAAUCAUUGGGCGUAAAGCGCGCGUAGGCGGCCCGGUAAGUCCGCUGUAAAAGUCCAGGGCUCAACCCUGGAAAGCCGGUGGAUACUGUCGGGCUAGAGUCCGGAAGAGGCGAGUGGAAUUCCUGGUGUAGCGGUGGAAUGCGCAGAUAUCAGGAGGAACACCCGUGGCGAAAGCGGCUCUCUGGAACGGUACUGACGCUGAGACGCGAAAGCGUGGGGAGCGAACAGG